rnacentral:lncRNA from 1 species
CGCUCUGAGGAGAGGGAGGAGCGCGGCGCAUGCGUUGCAGCACAGCGCAGCGCUCCUGGAGAGGCUGUGGGUUCGUGGCAUCCGCGCCGCGGCCGCAAGUAUAGCAGGUUUCGUACCUGGUGUUCAUCGCCGUUAAGUCAUCGCUGCUGCCACCCAGGCACGGCUCUCUAUGCCGCCGCUCCCUCCACCCUCUAGGCACUGCCUGCCGUAAGAAUUUUAACUGCGACACUCGCUUCAGCAGGAGAUUUUAUUGGCUGCAGACACACGCAGCAUCUUCUUGCGCUCCUCCUUGAGGUGGAUGGGCAGCUAGCUGGAGAUGACACAGGAUGAUGCGCAUCUUUCGCACGCUGGCUCCAAGAUCUCCGCUGCCAGAUGCAGCAACAAAGCUUCUUUGUACAGACAGCCCUGGACACACUUCCAGCAGCAAUUCUUCUUGCAGGAACUGGUGCAAGAACAGGAUUUAUUCGUGGCACAGGAGCAGUUGGUGUCCACUGGGAGUGGAGGCAGAAGAGAGACCAGAGCGGUGACUUCAACAGAAGUGGAGUAAAUAAAGAUGAUCACAGAACUUGGAAGCUGACGAAAUUAAUUUUGGAAAAGAGCUGGCUUGGAGCAUGACAGAAGAAUUCGAUGGAAAGAGUGCUGGGAGCCCAACUCAAGACUGAUGUGUGCUUGGCAGGCAGUCUACCCCCGAUCUCAGUCCUCCAGCCUUUCGGCCUUUUUUCCUUUUUGGAGACAGAAUUGCAUCAUAUGGCAUCCUACACAGUCCUGCCUCAGUCUCUGCAGUGCUGGGAUUGUAGGCCUAUGCCACCUAGCCUUUCUACAAUACAAACAAAUAUGAAAAGAAGAGGGACUUCUUUGGAAAGGAGUACAGGGACUAUGGAAGAGAUGAAAAGAUAAUAUUGUCAGAAAUUAUGCCGCUUUUGAAGAGAUAAACUGAACUCUUGAUUCUGUGAGGUUAUUAAAGAAUAUUAAUUUUCAAAUCACGGUAAAAUCUUGAUUCAGCAACACAUGAGGAUAAUCAUUGUGUCCAUGGAAACCUUGGGAAGCAGUUGAAAGCCUGGUCCCUCUUGCCUGGAGCAUUAACACAACGUGGCUGCAAAGUUAGUCCUUUCCCGCUACCAUCUCCUGAAUACUGGGACUAACUACACGUAUGCACGAACCUGCCCAUCUUUGCCUCUGUUAACAGCUGCCACUGUCUCUUCACGACAUGAUGGCUGACCUAGGGAAGAUAUUUUUGAAAAAGGGUUUAGCGUUUGCCAGAUCCUAUGCGUGAGUGACCUCAAAAGAGAAGAGGAGGGUACUUCUCAAUGACAAAGCAGUUGGAAGGAACAGAGCCAGUUGGCCAUGGACUGAAACUUUUGGAACUGAUUCUGAGGAGUUAAUGUUUCCAUGAAUAUCUCAGAAGGAGAUGUGGACAAACGAACAGUUAUCUCACUCCUGUAGCUAUCUUUCUUAUCCAGCCCAGGCCCUCCCACCGAGAAGUGGCACUAACCACCACAGGUCAAUAUAAUGGAGACAGUUCUUCAAUUGAUGUUCCCCCUUCCCAGGGGUUUCAUUUGCAAAUGCCUGCAGGAUCCAGAUGGGGGACAUGUGUGAGAUGGCUCCUGGUAUUCAUUCUCUCUCUCUUUCUCUCUCUCUCUCUCUCUCUCUCUCUCUCUCUCUCUCUCAAAGCUGGGUUUUGUGGUGUUUUUUCUUUAUCAGAGAGAUUACCGGAUGCCAAGGGACAGAUGGUGGAUCUAAGAGGAUGGGAGAGUAUUUGAGGCCCCGACCCAUUUAAUGUGCAAAAUGCAUCUAAAGAGAAAGGCUAGUGGGCUGGUGAGAUGGCUCAGUGGGUUAGAGCACCCGACUGCUCUUCCGAAGGUCCAGAGUUCAAAUCCCAGCAACCACAUGGUGGCUCACAACCAUCCGUAACAAGAUCUGACUCCCUCUUCUGGAGUGUCUGAAGACAGCUACAGUGUACUUACAUAUAAUAAAUAAAUAAAUCUUUAAAAAAAAAAAAAAAAAAAAAAGAGAAAGGCUAGUACU